rnacentral:rRNA from 3 species
GGUUAAGCGACUAAGCGUACACGGUGGAUGCCCUGGCAGUCAGAGGCGAUGAAGGACGUGCUAAUCUGCGAAAAGCGUCGGUAAGGUGAUAUGAACCGUUACAGCCGGCGAUGUCCGAAUGGGGAAACCCAGUGCAAUUCGUUGCACUAUCGUUAACUGAAUACAUAGGUUAACGAGGCGAACCGGGGGAACUGAAACAUCUAAGUACCCCGAGGAAAAGAAAUCAACCGAGAUUCCCCCAGUAGCGGCGAGCGAACGGGGAGCAGCCCAGAGUCUGAAUCAGCUUGUGUGUUAGUGGAACGGUCUGGAAAGUCCGACGGUACAGGGUGAUAGUCCCGUACACCAAAAUGCACAGGCUGUGAACUCGAAGAGUAGGGCGGGACACGUGGUAUCCUGUCUGAAUAUGGGGGGACCAUCCUCCAAGGCUAAAUACUCCUGACUGACCGAUAGUGAACCAGUACCGUGAGGGAAAGGCGAAAAGAACCCCGGCGAGGGGAGUGAAAAAGAACCUGAAACCGUGUACGUACAAGCAGUGGGAGCACCUUCGGGUGUGACUGCGUACCUUUUGUAUAAUGGGUCAGCGACUUAUAUUCUGUAGCAAGGUUAACCGUAUAGGGGAGCCGCAGGGAAACCGAGUCUUAACUGGGCGUUAAGUUGCAGGGUAUAGACCCGAAACCCGGUGAUCUAGCCAUGGGCAGGUUGAAGGUUGGGUAACACUAACUGGAGGACCGAACCGACUAAUGUUGAAAAAUUAGCGGAUGACUUGUGGCUGGGGGUGAAAGGCCAAUCAAACCGGGAGAUAGCUGGUUCUCCCCGAAAGCUAUUUAGGUAGCGCCUCGUGAAUUCAUCUUCGGGGGUAGAGCACUGUUUCGGCUAGGGGGUCAUCCCGACUUACCAACCCGAUGCAAACUACGAAUACCGAAGAAUGUUAUCACGGGAGACACACGGCGGGUGCUAACGUCCGUCGUGAAGAGGGAAACAACCCAGACCGCCAGCUAAGGUCCCAAAGUCAUGGUUAAGUGGGAAACGAUGUGGGAAGGCACAGACAGCCAGGAUGUUGGCUUAGAAGCAGCCAUCAUUUAAAGAAAGCGUAAUAGCUCACUGGUCGAGUCGGCCUGCGCGGAAGAUGUAACGGGGCUAAACCAUGCACCGAAGCUGCGGCAGCGACACUAUGUGUUGUUGGGUAGGGGAGCGUUCUGUAAGCCUGCGAAGGUGACCUGUGAGGGUUGCUGGAGGUAUCAGAAGUGCGAAUGCUGACAUAAGUAACGAUAAAGCGGGUGAAAAGCCCGCUCGCCGGAAGACCAAGGGUUCCUGUCCAACGUUAAUCGGGGCAGGGUGAGUCGACCCCUAAGGCGAGGCCGAAAGGCGUAGUCGAUGGGAAACAGGUUAAUAUUCCUGUACUUGGUGUUACUGCGAAGGGGGGACGGAGAAGGCUAUGUUAGCCGGGCGACGGUUGUCCCGGUUUAAGCAUGUAGGCUGGUUGUCCAGGCAAAUCCGGAUAAUCAAGGCUGAGGUGUGAUGACGAGGCACUACGGUGCUGAAGUAACAAAUGCCCUGCUUCCAGGAAAAGCCUCUAAGCAUCAGGUAACAUCAAAUCGUACCCCAAACCGACACAGGUGGUCAGGUAGAGAAUACCAAGGCGCUUGAGAGAACUCGGGUGAAGGAACUAGGCAAAAUGGUGCCGUAACUUCGGGAGAAGGCACGCUGGUGUGUAGGUGAAGUCCCUGCGGAUGGAGCUGAGACCAGUCGAAGAUACCAGCUGGCUGCAACUGUUUAUUAAAAACACAGCACUGUGCAAACACGAAAGUGGACGUAUACGGUGUGACGCCUGCCCGGUGCCGGAAGGUUAAUUGAUGGGGUUAUCCGUAAGGAGAAGCUCUUGAUCGAAGCCCCGGUAAACGGCGGCCGUAACUAUAACGGUCCUAAGGUAGCGAAAUUCCUUGUCGGGUAAGUUCCGACCUGCACGAAUGGCGUAAUGAUGGCCAGGCUGUCUCCACCCGAGACUCAGUGAAAUUGAACUCGCUGUGAAGAUGCAGUGUACCCGCGGCAAGACGGAAAGACCCCGUGAACCUUUACUAUAGCUUGACACUGAACAUUGAGCCUUGAUGUGUAGGAUAGGUGGGAGGCUUUGAAGCGUGGACGCCAGUCUGCGUGGAGCCAACCUUGAAAUACCACCCUUUAAUGUUUGAUGUUCUAACGUUGGCCCCUUACCGGGGUUGCGGACAGUGUCUGGUGGGUAGUUUGACUGGGGCGGUCUCCUCCCAAAGCGUAACGGAGGAGCACGAAGGUUAGCUAAUCCUGGUCGGACAUCAGGAGGUUAGUGCAAUGGCAUAAGCUAGCUUGACUGCGAGCGUGACGGCGCGAGCAGGUGCGAAAGCAGGUCAUAGUGAUCCGGUGGUUCUGAAUGGAAGGGCCAUCGCUCAACGGAUAAAAGGUACUCCGGGGAUAACAGGCUGAUACCGCCCAAGAGUUCAUAUCGACGGCGGUGUUUGGCACCUCGAUGUCGGCUCAUCACAUCCUGGGGCUGAAGUAGGUCCCAAGGGUAUGGCUGUUCGCCAUUUAAAGUGGUACGCGAGCUGGGUUUAGAACGUCGUGAGACAGUUCGGUCCCUAUCUGCCGUGGGCGCUGGAGAAUUGAGGGGGGCUGCUCCUAGUACGAGAGGACCGGAGUGGACGCAUCACUGGUGUUCGGGUUGUCAUGCCAAUGGCACUGCCCGGUAGCUAAAUGCGGAAGAGAUAAGUGCUGAAAGCAUCUAAGCACGAAACUUGCCCCGAGAUGAGUUCUCCCUGAGACUUUAAGUCUCCUGAAGGAACGUUGAAGACGACGACGUUGAUAGGCCGGGUGUGUAAGCGCAGCGAUGCGUUGAGCUAACCGGUACUAAUGAACCGUGAGGCUUAACCUU